rnacentral:rRNA from 1 species
UACGUAGGGGGCAAGCGUUGUCCGGGAAUCAUUGGGCGUAAAGCGCGUGUAGGCGGCCCGGUAAGUCCGCUGUGAAAGUCGGGGGCUCAACCCUCGAAUGCCGGUGGAUACUGUCGGGCUAGAGUGCGGAAGAGGCGAGUGGAAUUCCUGGUGUAGCGGUGAAAUGCGCAGAUAUCAGGAGGAACACCAAUUGCGAAGGCAGCUCGCUGGGACGUGACUGACGCUGAGACGCGAAAGCGUGGGGAGC